rnacentral:lncRNA from 1 species
GCACUGGCCGCUGGACGGCACUCUCCCAGCUUGGAAGUAGGCAGGGUUCCCUCCAGGUGGGCCCCCACCUCACUGAAGAGGAGCAAGUCUCAAGAGAAGGAGGGGGGAUUGGUGGUUGGAGGAAGCAGCACACCCAAUUCUGCCCCUAGGACUCGGGGUCUGAGUCCUGGGGUCAGGCCAGGGAGAGCUCGGGGCAGGCCUUCCGCCAGCACUCCCACUGCCCCCCUGCCCAGUAGCAGCCGCCCACAUUGUGUCAGCAUCCAGGGCCAGGGCCUGGCCUCACAUCCCCCUGCUCCUUUCUCUAGCUGGCUCCACGGGAGUUCAGGCCCCACUCCC